GGGGAAUAUUGCGCAAUGGGCGAAAGCCUGACGCAGCCACGCCGCGUGAGCGAUGAAGGCCUUCGGGUCGUAAAGCUCUGUGGGGAGAGAAGAAUAAAGCCUGUGAAGAGCAGGCCUUGACGGUAUCUCCUUAGCAAGCACCGGCUAACUCCGUGCCAGCAGCCGCGGUAAUACGGAGGGUGCAAACGUUGCUCGGAAUCAUUGGGCGUAAAGCGCACGUAGGCUGCCCGACAAGUUGGGUGUGAAAACCCUGGGCUCAACCCAGGAAGUGCAUCCAAAACUGGCGGGCUUGAAUCUCGGAGGGGGUCGGAGAAUUCCCGGUGUAGAGGUGAAAUUCGUAGAUAUCGGGAGGAAUACCAGUGGCGAAGGCGCCGACCUGGACGAAGAUUGACGCUGAGGUGCGAAAGCGUGGGGAGCAAAC
rnacentral:rRNA from 1 species